ensembl:lncRNA HNRNPKP3 heterogeneous nuclear ribonucleoprotein K pseudogene 3
GUAAUUUGGCAGCCGCUCGCUCCCCGGCCUGCUGUGCUCUCAGUCCCUGACCGACUCAGAUGCAGAUGGCAGCAGCGCAGCCACAGGAAGUGGGACGCAGCCUGUGGCCUCCGAGAUUGGCUUCUCUGUGUCCUCCUUGCUGUGGACCCCGUGACGCCACAGAGCAAGAAUGCUUGGACAGUGAUUGGAAAAGGAGAUAAGAAUAUUAAGGCUUUCUGUAUAGACUACAGAGCCAGGGUUCUAGCCCCAGAGGGCAAUGGCCCCAAGUGCAUGCUGAGUAUCAGUGCUGAUAUUGAAACAGUUGGAGAAACUCUGAAGAAAAUCAUCCCUACCUUGGAAGAGUACCACCAUUAUAAAGGAAGCAACUUUGAUUGCGAAUUGAGGCUGUUGACUCAUCAGAGUCUGGCAGGAGGAAUUAUUGAGGUCAAAGAUGCUAAAAUCAAAGAGCUUCAAGGGAACACUCAAACAACAAUCAAGCUUUUCCGGGAAUGCUGUCCUCAUUCCACUGACGGAGUUGUUCUUACUGGAGAAAGACUAUGGAGUUGUAGAGUGCAUAAAAUUAUCCUUGAUCUUAUAUCUGAGUCUCCUACAGAGGAUGUGCACAGACUUAUAAUCCCAAUUUUCAUGAUGUAACCUAUUACAUUACAUGAUGUAACACCAUUAUAUUAUGGUGGUUUUACAAUGUUGUCUGAUGACCACCAUGGAUGCCUGGUGGGGUUUCCCAGGCAGGGAAGAGGUGGUUUUGACAGAAUGUCUACCAGUCAGGGUGGGUGUUCCAUGUGGCCAUCUGGAAGAGAUUAUGAUGACAUGAGUCCUUGUUGAGGACCACCUCCUCCUUCUUUUGGACAAGGUGCCUGGGGUGGUAGCAAAGCUGAGAAUCUUCCUCUUUCUCCACUACCACUACAGAGGGUAGGAGACAUAAGGGCCUAUGACAGAAGAGGAAGACCUGGAGAUGGUUACAUGGCAUGGCUGGCUUCAGUGCUGAUGAAACUUGGGACUCUGCAAUAGAUACAUGGAGUGCAUCAGAAUGGCUGAUGGCUUAUGAACCACAGAGUGGCUCCAGAUAUAAUUAUUCCUAUGCAGCGGACAGUGGCUCAUAUGGUGGACCUAUUAUUACUACACAAGGAACUAUUCCCAAAUAUUUGGUUGGAUCUAUUAUUGGCAAAGGUGGUCAGUGAAUCAAACAAAUCCAUCAUGAGUUGGAGCUUCAACUAAAGUUGAUGAGCCUUUAGAAGGAGGUGAAGAUCAGAUCAUUAUCAUUAUAGGAACAUAGGACCAGAUAUAGAAUGCACAGUAUUUGCUGCAGAACAGUAUGAAGCAGUUUUCCGGAAAGUUUUUACUAAUGCUAGUGAAGGACUGAAGGAGUCCUGCAUCUUUUUUUUUUUUUACAUUUGCUUCUGUUUAAAAAGCCAUCAUGCCUCUGCUUCACAGGUGUUUUGCAUCUGAGGUGUAGUGAAACCUUUGCUGUUCACCAGAUGUAAGGUUUUAGUUCCUUACAAACAGGGUUGGGGAUGUAGGGAAGGGCUUGCAAAAACUAAUGUUGAAAUUUUGAAACAGCAGUAGAAUGAGCGGAUUUUUUUUUGUGUUCAUUGUUACUGGUUUAAAAAAAUGUUCCCCUAUGUAAUUUUUGUGAACACCUUACUUUGUGGUCACUGUAACAUUUGAGGGGUGAGACAGGGAGGAAGAGUAACAAUAGGCCACAUGUCCCUGGCAUCUGUUCAGAGCAGUGUGCAGAAUGUAAGGCUCUUUAGUAAGAAAUGUUUUACGACUUUUAAGAUAAAUUUAGAUAAACCUAAAAUAGUCACAGAGGAUGUAAAAUAAAAGUGAAAGACUCCCUUCUUACCCCUCACCCCUCCAUCAUACCUUUUAAAACUAACAACUGUGAAUCGUUUAUUGUGUUAACCCUAUACGAUCAUUUUAAAUAAAAAAUAAGCCUGUGUGUG